rnacentral:rRNA from 1 species
GAUGAACGCUGGCGGCGUGCCUAAUACAUGCAAGUCGAGCGAACAGACGAGGAGCUUGCUCCUCUGACGUUAGCGGCGGACGGGUGAGUAACACGUGGAUAACCUACCUAUAAGACUGGGAUAACUUCGGGAAACCGGAGCUAAUACCGGAUAAUAUAUUGAACCGCAUGGUUCAAUAGUGAAAGACGGUUUUGCUGUCACUUAUAGAUGGAUCCGCGCCGCAUUAGCUAGUUGGUAAGGUAACGGCUUACCAAGGCAACGAUGCGUAGCCGACCUGAGAGGGGGAUUGGCCACACUGGAACUGAGAAAAGGGCCAGACCCCUACGGGAGGGAGCAGUAGGGAAUCUUCCGGAAUGGGGGAAAGCCUGACGGAGCAACGCCGCGUGAGUGAUGAAGGGUUUCGGAUCGUAAAACCCUGUUAUUAGGGAAGAACAAAUGUGUAAGUAACUAUGCACGGCUUGACGGUACCUAAUCAGAAAGCCACGGCUAACUACGUG